rnacentral:rRNA from 1 species
UUACUGGCUCAGGAUGAACGCUAGCUACAGGCUUAACACAUGCAAGUCGAGGGGUAGCAGGGUAGCAAUACCGCUGACGACCGGCGCACGGGUGAGUAACACGUAUCCAACCUUCCCAUAACUCAGGGAUAGCCUUUCGAAAGAAAGAUUAAUACCUGAUAGUACUUUUUCAAGGCAUCUUGAAAAAAGUUAAAGAUUUAUUGGUUAUGGAUGGGGAUGCGUUCCAUUAGAUAGUUGGUGAGGUAACGGCUCACCAAGUCUUCGAUGGAUAGGGGUUCUGAGAGGAAGGUCCCCCACAUUGGUACUGAGACACGGACCAAACUCCUACGGGAGGCAGCAGUGAGGAAUAUUGGUCAAUGGGCGAGAGCCUGAACCAGCCAAGUAGCGUGAAAAGGAUGAAGGUCCUAUGGAUUGUAAACUUCUUUUAUAGUAGAAUAAAGUGAGCCACGUGUGGUUUUUUGUAUGUAUACUAUGAAUAAGGAUCGGCUAACUCCGUGCCAGCCGCCGC